AACGAACGCUGGCGGCAUGCCUAACACAUGCAAGUCGAACGAAGGCUUCGGUCUGGUGGCGAGUGGCGAACGGGUGAGUAAUGUAUCGGAACGUGCCCAGUCGUGGGGGAUAACGUAGUGAAAAUUACGCUAAUACCGCAUACGAUCUAUGGAUGAAAGCGGGGGAUCGCAAGACCUCGCGCGAUUGGAGCGGCCGAUAUCAGAUUAGGUAGUUGGUGGGGUAAAGGCCCACCAAGCCAACGAUCUGUAGCUGGUCUGAGAGGACGACCAGCCACACUGGAACUGAGACACGGUCCAGACUCCUACGGGAGGCAGCAGUGGGGAAUUUUGGACAAUGGGCGAAAGCCUGAUCCAGCCAUUCCGCGUGCAGGAUGAAGGCCCUCGGGUUGUAAACUGCUUUUGUACAGAACGAAAAGGUUUCUACUAAUACUAGGAGCUCAUGACGGUACUGUAAGAAUAAGCACCGGCUAACUACGUGCCAGCAGCCGCCGUAA
rnacentral:rRNA from 1 species